UAGCAAAGCAGGAUAACCAUUGCAAUGUUCAGUGAUUCAAAACCUAGUUCCCGUAAGGUCCUAGACGACUCCUAGUGGAGCCUGGAAUAGAACUGAGCCUCGCACACACUAGGCAUGCAUUGUGCACAUAUACACAGAUCGUUUUCUUUUUUACAUUUAUUUAUGUGCGCUCCUGCCUGCAUGUACGGGUGUGGUGGUCAGAGGACAUCUUGUAUGAGUUGGUUUUCUUCAUUAUGUGUCCCAAAGAUCCAAAAUAGUCCACUCCCAUCUCCUGAGCCAUCACCAUGGCCACCUCCCUCACCCCCACUCCCCUGCCUCAGUACUAAGCCAGGGCUCCACCACUGGGUGCUAUUCCCACCCCAUCUUUUUGUUUGUUUGUUUAGUUUGGGGUGAUUGUUAAUUUGUGUUCGAAACAGGGUCUCUCUGUGUAGCCCUAGCCGUCCUGGAACUCUCUAUGUAGUCCAGGUUGGCCUUGAACUCGCAGACCCACCUGCCUCUGCGUGAGCCUUGUACACAUAGACAAAACUAUUUUGAGCUGAAUAAGUGCCUUUCAAGUUCUGUGAGUCCAGCUACUUAAGAGGCAAGAGGAUCAAAAGUUCAAGGCCUGGGGGAGGGAAGAGGUAUUGAUACACUCAUGAUCUAUUGUAUGGAAUUCUCAAAUUAUUAAUAAAAGUAUUAAUUUAAAAAGAGCACUGGGUUAAAGGUAUGUACUGCUACACCCAGCUUCUGCUUAGUAUUCCUUCUUAGAUUUAAUUUUAUGUGCAUGAACAUUUUGUCUGCAUCGCACCAUAUGGAGGAUGAGAGAGGGUCUCAGAGCCCCUGGAACUGUAGAGAUGUUUUCCUACCUUUAUGUCUGUGGUCUGCGCUGUGGCUGGCUGCUAUUCAAGGAGGAGAAGAGGGAGUCAGAUCCUCUUGGACUGAAGUUACCGAAGGUUGUGGGUCUCCAGGUGAACGGUUGGAAUCAAACUUAGUGCUUUUAAACUGAGAACUAUCUCUUUUAGUGUGUGUGUGUGUGUGUGUGUAUUAUAAAUAUUAUAUAUAUAUUUGUUUUUUGAGACAGGGCUUCUCUGUGUAGCCUUGGCCAUUCUGGAACUUCUUCUUUAACCAGGCUGGCCACCACUCCCUGGCUAGUUAUUU
rnacentral:lncRNA from 1 species